UACGGGGGGUGCAAGCGUUGUUCGGAAUUACUGGGCGUAAAGGGCUCGUAGGCGGCCAACUAAGUCAGACGUGAAAUCCCUCGGCUUAACCGGGGAACUGCGUCUGAUACUGGAUGGCUUGAGUUUGGGAGAGGGAUGCGGAAUUCCAGGUGUAGCGGUGAAAUGCGUAGAUAUCUGGAGGAACACCGGUGGCGAAGGCGGCAUCCUGGACCGGCAUUGACGCUGAGGAGCGAAAGCCAGGGGAGCAAACGGG
rnacentral:rRNA from 1 species